rnacentral:rRNA from 1 species
CCUACGGGGGGCAGCAGUGGGGAAUAUUGGGCAAUGGACGCAAGUCUGACCCAGCGACGCCGCGUGAAGGACGAAGGCAUUCGUGUUGUAAACUUCUUUGGAGAGGGACGAAAAUGACGGUAUCUCUCGAACAAGCCACGGCUAACUACGUGCCAGCAGCCGCGGUAAUACGUAGGUGGCAAGCGUUAUCCGGAAUUACUGGGUGUAAAGGGCGCGCAGGCGGCCCUGCAAGUCGGAUGUGAAAGAUCAAGGCUCAACCUUGACAGGUCAUUCGAAACUGUAGGACUUGAGUGUCAGAGGGGAAAGUGGAAUUCCUAGUGGAGCGGUAAAAUGCGCAGAUAUUAGGAGGAACACCGGUGGCGAAGGCGACUUUCUGGCUGACAACUGACGCUGAGGCGCGAAAGCGUGGGGAGCAAACA